CCUACGGGAGGCAGCAGUAGGGAAUCUUGCUCAAUGGGCGAAACCCUGAUGCAGCAACACCGCGUGGAGGAUGAAGGUUUUCGGAUUGUAAACUCCUUUUGUUGGAGAAGAUAAUGACGGUAUCUAACGAAUAAGCACCGGCUAACUCCGUGCCAGCAGCCGCGGUAAUACGGAGGGUGCAAGCGUUACGCGGAAUCACUGGGCGAAAAGAGCGCGGAGGCGGGAUCGCAAGUCAGAUGUGAAAGCCUAUGGCUUAACCAUAGAACUGCAUUUGAAACUGUUAUUCUAGAGUAUGGGAGAGGUAGGUGGAAUUCUUGGUGUAGGGGUAGAAUCCGUAGAGAUCAAGAGGAAUACUCAUUGCGAAGGCGACCUGCUAGAACAUAACUGACGCUGAUGCGCGAAAGCGUGGGGAGCAAACAGGAUUAGAUACUCUGGUAGUC
rnacentral:rRNA from 1 species